CCUACGGGGGGCUGCAGUGGGGAAUAUUGCGCAAUGGGCGAAAGCCUGACGCAGCGACGCCGCGUGAGGGAUGAAGGUCUUCGGAUCGUUAACCUCUGUCUGUAGGGAAGAAAGGUCACUGUGCUAAUCAGCAGUGAAUUGACGGUACCUGCAAAGGAAGCACCGGUUAACUCCGUGCCAGCAGCCGCGGUAAUACGGAGGGUGCGAGCGUUAAUCGGAAUUACUGGGCGUAAAGCGCUCGUAGGCGGUAUGUCAAGUCAAGGGUGAAAUCCCCGCGCUCAACGUGGGAACUGCCUUUGAAACUGGCAAGCUGGAGUGUGUGAGAGGAUAGUGGAAUUCCAGGUGUAGGAGUGAAAUCCGUAGAUAUCUGGAGGAACAUCAGUGGCGAAGGCGACUAUCUGGCACAUAACUGACGCUGAGGAGCGAAAGCGUGGGUAGCAAACAGGAUUAGAUACCCUGGUAGUC
rnacentral:rRNA from 1 species